rnacentral:rRNA from 1 species
CAUGCAAGUCGAACGAAGUAGCAAUACUUAGUGGCAGACGGGUGAGUAACAUGUGGGUAUCUACCCUUUGGCCUGGAAUAACACGAGGAAACUUGUGCUAAUACCGGAUAAGUCUUUACGGAGAAAGCUUUAUGCACCAUUGGAUGAGCCCGCAAUUGAUUAGUUUGUUGGUGGGGUAAUGGCCUACCAAGACUGUGAUCAAUAGCUGAUUUGAGAGGAUGAUCAGCCACAUUGGGACUGAGACACGGCCCAAACUCCUACGGGAGGCAGCAGUGGGGAAUCUUGCACAAUGGAGGAAACUCUGAUGCAGCGAUGCCGCGUGAGUGAAGAAGGCCCUUGGGUUGUAAAGCUCUUUCGUCGGGGAAGAAAAUGACUGUACCCGAAUAAGAAGGUCCGGCUAACUUCGUGCCAGCAGCCGCGGUAAUACGAAGGGACCUAGCGUAGUUCGGAAUUACUGGGCUUAAAGAGUUCGUAGGCGGUUGAAAAAGUUGGUGGUGAAAUCCCAGAGCUUAACUCUGGAACUGCCAUCAAAACUUUUCAGCUAGAGUUUGAUAGAGGAAAGCAGAAUUUCUAGUGUAGAGGUGAAAUUCGUAGAUAUUA